rnacentral:pre_miRNA from 1 species
GUAUUACUCCCUCCGUCCGAAAAUACUUGUCAUCAAAAUGGACAAAAAAGGAUGUAUCUAGAACUAAAAUACAUCUAGAUACAUCCCCUUUUAUUCAUUUUGAUGACAAGUAUUUCCGGACGGAGGGAGUACAUG